rnacentral:sRNA from 1 species
GCCAGGUAUGGUGGUGCACGCCUGUAAUCCCAGCGGCUCAGGAGGCUGAGGCAGGAGGAUUGUGAGUUCAAAGCCAGCCUUAGCAAUGGUGAGGUGCUUAGCAACUAGUGAGACCCUGUCUCUA